AACUUUACACUGCGGGAAGCCGCGAUAAGGGGACCCCGAGUGCCAGCACCUAGUGCUGGCUGUCCCGCUGUUCAAAAAACAGUGGUUAGCAAGGGCCGGGCAAGACCGGUGCCAGCCGCCGCGGUAACACCGGCGGCCCGAGUGGUAGCCGUUAUUAUCGGGUUUAAAGGGUCCGUAGCCGGCUUACUAAGUCUCUUGGGAAAUCUGGCGGCCUAAUCGUCAGGCGGCCAAGAGAUACUGGUAGGCUUGGGACCGGGAGAGGUGGGAGGUACUCCAGGGGUAGGGGUGAAAUCUCGUAAUCCUUGGGGGACCACCGAUGGCGAAGGCAUCCCACCAGAACGGGUCCGACGGUGAGGGACGAAAGCUGGGGGCACGAACCGGAUUAGAUACCCGGGUAGUCCCAGCUGUAAACGAUGCUCGCUAGGUGUCAGGUGCGGUGCGACCGCAUCUGGUGCCGCAGUGAAAACUUGAAGCGAGUCACCUGGGAAGUACGGUCGCAAGGCUGAAACUUAA
rnacentral:rRNA from 1 species